AUUGAACGCUGGCGGCUUGCCUUACACAUGCAAGUCGAACGGCAGCACGGGUGCUUGCACCUGGUGGCGAGUGGCGAACGGGUGAGUAAUACAUCGGAACAUGUCCUGUAGUGGGGGAUAGCCCGGCGAAAGCCGGAUUAAUACCGCAUACGAUCCACGGAUGAAAGCGGGGGACCUUCGGGCCUCGCGCUAUAGGGUUGGCCGAUGGCUGAUUAGCUAGUUGGUGGGGUAAAGGCCUACCAAGGCGACGAUCAGUAGCUGGUCUGAGAGGACGACCAGCCACACUGGGACUGAGACACGGCCCAGACUCCUACGGGAGGCAGCAGUGGGGAAUUUUGGACAAUGGGCGAAAGCCUGAUCCAGCAAUGCCGCGUGUGUGAAGAAGGCCUUCGGGUUGUAAAGCACUUUUGUCCGGAAAGAAAUCCUUGACUCUAAUACAGUCGGGGGAUGACGGUACCGGAAGAAUAAGCACCGGCUAACUACGUG
rnacentral:rRNA from 1 species